UACAGAGGUCUCAAGCGUUGUUCGGAUUCAUUGGGCGUAAAGGGUGCGUAGGUGGCGCGCUAAGUCGGGUGUGAAAUCCCGGGGCUUAACCUCGGGACUGCAUUCGAUACUGGCGUGCUUGAGGACUGGAGAGGAGACUGGAAUUCAUGGUGUAGCAGUGAAAUGCGUAGAGAUCAUGAGGAAGACCAGUGGCGAAGGCGGGUCUCUGGACAGUUCCUGACACUGAGGCACGAAAGCGUGGGGAGCAAACAGG
rnacentral:rRNA from 1 species